rnacentral:rRNA from 1 species
UACGUAGGGGGCAAGCGUUGUCCGGAUUUAUUGGGCGUAAAGAGCGUGUAGGCGGCCAUGUAGGUCCGUUGUGAAAACUCGAGGCUCAACCUCGAGACGCCGAUGGAAACCAUGUGGCUAGAGUCCGGAAGAGGAGAGUGGAAUUCCUGGUGUAGCGGUGAAAUGCGCAGAUAUCAGGAAGAACACCCGUGGCUAAGGCGGCUCUCUGGGCCUUACCUGACGCUGAGGAGCGAAAGCGUGGGGAGCGAACAGGA